UCCUCCCCAAGCCGGUGGCCUCCCCCUUCCUUCCUUCCCUCCCUUCAGCCUCGCUUGCCUGCUCCGCUCAGUUCUGCCCAUGACGAGCCCCUCAAAUCCACCCUGCGCGGUGUCUGCCCUCCCUGCUCCUCUUCCCAGAGAACUAAUCCAGGCAAGCAGCUUCUAAAUCGUGAAGCACCUGGGCACCUCCUUCCAGCCACGCCGCGCCUUGGUCCGCGCGCAUCUCCAUGGCGAGCGCUGCUGGUCGGAGUUCGCAGACCCCGGCGCAGGUGCCAUUCCUGCAGCGGCACCAUCAACCUGCGCCGACUCAUCCCCAACACCCGGCUGCCGUCAGCAACCUGCAGUAAAUGGCUCUCGUCCACCCCCUCUAGCACGCCUGCAACUUGUUCGACGAUACGCCUCAACCAGGAGCUGCAACCACGACCGUGCUGAGCUGCUGUCUUCUACCUCUUCACCAAGCUGCAUCAACCCCGCCGCCCAAGGAGCAGCGUCGUGGAGUUCUCAUGGUGUGCUGAUGCUCCUCCCCGGCGCACAGCCACACGGCACACGCAACAAGCAGCAGAUUCCGCUACAGAGUGGUGUACAAGCUCGUGGAUGUGAAGCAAGCGUAGCCGCGAAGCCCAGCAGAGAAUCCAAAAGACCCAGCUCAAGGUUCGGAACGGCCCAAGGCCUUGAUUGUACUAACAUCGAGCAGUUGAAAAGCAAGCCCCGGAGCAUAACUUUUAUUUUCAAAACUAUGCAAUGUUUUUAUUUAAGUAUUGUGCAUUUAGAUUUUCAGGAGUUGAAUAAAACCAUAGAUGCAUGGUCCAUAGGUUCCCAUGGUUAUACUAGCAUGUGUAGGUCGUUAGCAUGGCUCGGAGCAUAACCUUCAUUUUCAAAACUAUGCAAUGUUUUUAUUUAA